GUACUACAAUUUAUACUUGUACUGCAUGUCAGUACUUUGCUCUGCUUAUUAAAGAAAAAAAAUGAAGCAGCUUUCUUUUUCUUCUAAUGAAGAACAACGCAUUGUUGUCUCCUUCUUCUGAAGAAUGCCGCCUAAAUAACUUUUUUUUUUAAUUAUUUUUUAAAUAUUACAACAUCAAUCACAAUCACAAAUUAAAGUGAAAGUUCUGAUUACUAAAAAAAAAAAUUAACGCGUCUGAAUGAAUCAGCGGUAUGUCGACUGGAAUAGCGUUGACGCCCAACCGGAUUUUAGCGAUGCGUCUGACAGGAUUUGUCAAAAAAAUUCCUCCAUGGCGGCGCUUCUAAUCAGAUCCAAAAUUCAUACAAUCAAUUAUGAAGAUUUUUCUCACAGAGUUUACAUAGCUCGUGAUUCAAUGAAAGAACGGGUAGAGCUGAUGAGUUUAUGGCUAGAUCUGAUUGUGUUGUUAUUUUGGGUAACCGAUUUUGUUAGUGUGACUGUGAGUUUUGGUUGUGGGUAGUGAAGCUUCAACAGUGGUGAUGAACAUCAGUAUAAAAAGUAAAGGAAAAGGGAGACGGUGUGGUGAUGGUGUCGGUGGCGGUCCAGUGAUGGGAAAAGAAAGCUAGACGGUGUUGAUGGAUGGAGGCUCGAAUGCGGACAUUUGGUUCACUGAUGGUGGCUGAACCAGUGGUUGGUUCUUUGGCGGGAGUCGAAGCAGCGAAAAUAAGGAAUUUUCACCGACGUUGGUGGUUUUCAACUGAAGCCGCGGUUUGCCAGAGAAAGAGGAAGGAGUAAGCAAGGGAUGGGGUGGUAGGCGACUGUCCGAUAGUUAUUUUCGACGGUGGCAGACAGCAGUGGUUGGACUUUGUUGAGAGACAGAGAUAAAGAAAAAGGGAGAGAGGAGAGGUUCAAUGUGUUUGUAUAUGUGUAUGUGUACUUGUGUGUAAAGGGAUAAAAAAUAUGUAUGUAUAUUUGUGUAUAUGUGUAUUCAAGAAGAAAAAAUAUGUGCGUGGUAAAGAAUAUAUGUGUGUAGUGCAAAAAUAUGUGUGGAAGGAAACUAUGGGUGUGUAUUAUAUUUUUCGGGGGAAGAAAAAAUAAAACAAAUUAUUUUUUUUUAUUUUUGAGAGAG